UUUCCGUAGGUGAACCUGCGGAAGGAUCAUUAUCAAAAGUCAAGUCGGGGGCUGUAAAGCUCUCGUCUACACCCAUGUCUUUUGCGUACUCUUGUUUCCUCGGUGGCGCAAGCUGCCGAUUGGACAAACCAAAACCUUUUUUGUAAUUGCAAUCAGCGUCUGAAAAAAAACCAAUUAAAACUUUCAACAACGGAUCUCUUGGCUCUG
rnacentral:misc_RNA from 1 species